AGCGAACGCUGGCGGCAGGCUUAACACAUGCAAGUCGAGCGGGCACCUUCGGGUGUCAGCGGCGGACGGGUGAGUAACGCGUGGGAACGUGCCUUCUGGUCUGGAAUAACCCUGGGAAACUAGGGCUAAUACCGGAUACGCCCUUUUGGGGAAAGGUUUACUGCCGGAAGAUCGGCCCGCGUCUGAUUAGCUAGUUGGUGGGGUAACGGCCUACCAAGGCGACGAUCAGUAGCUGGUCUGAGAGGAUGAUCAGCCACACUGGGACUGAGACACGGCCCAGACUCCUACGGGAGGCAGCAGUGGGGAAUAUUGGACAAUGGGCGAAAGCCUGAUCCAGCCAUGCCGCGUGAGUGAUGAAGGCCUUAGGGUUGUAAAGCUCUUUUAUCCGGGACGAUAAUGACGGUACCGGAGGAAUAAGCCCCGGCUAACUUCGUGCCAGCAGCCGCCGUAA
rnacentral:rRNA from 1 species